rnacentral:rRNA from 1 species
GAUGAACGCUGGCGGCGCGCCUAACACAUGCAAGUCGAACGAUUAAAGCACCUUCGGGUGUGUAUAAAGUGGCGAACGGCUGAGUAACACGUGGGCAACCUGCCCCUUUCAUUGGGAUAGCCACGGGAAACCGUGGAUAAUACCGAAUACUUCGAGACUUCCGCAUGGAAGACUCGAGAAAGCUCCGGCGGAGAGGGAUGGGCCCGCGGCCUGUUAGCUUGUUGGUGGGGUAACGGCCUACCAAGGCAAUGAUGGGUAGCUGGGUUGAGAGACCGACCAGCGAGAGGGGGACUGGGAGAGGGCCCGAACCCGUGGGGGGGGGGGGGGGGGGAGUGUUGGCACGAGGGGGGAAAGCCGAGUGCGGGAGCCCCGGGGGAGGGGGGGGGUCUUGCGGUUUGAAGCCCUGUUAGGGCGGGAAGGGGGGGAAGGUGAGGGUACCGAAAGAAGAAGCCCCGGCUAACUACGUG